rnacentral:rRNA from 1 species
AGCGAACGCUGGCGGCAGGCUUAACACAUGCAAGUCGAACGGGCGUAGCAAUACGUCAGUGGCAGACGGGUGAGUAACGCGUGGGAACAUACCUCUUGGUUCGGAACAACACAGGGAAACUUGUGCUAAUACCGGAUAAGCCCUUACGGGGAAAGAUUUAUCGCCGAGAGAUUGGCCCGCGUCUGAUUAGCUAGUUGGUAGGGUAAUGGCCUACCAAGGCGACGAUCAGUAGCUGGUCUGAGAGGAUGAUCAGCCACAUUGGGACUGAGACACGGCCCAAACUCCUACGGGAGGCAGCAGUGGGGAAUAUUGGACAAUGGGCGCAAGCCUGAUCCAGCCAUGCCGCGUGAGUGAUGAAGGCCCUAGGGUUGUAAAGCUCUUUUGUACGGGUAAGAUAAUGACGGUACCGUAAGAAUAAGCCCCGGCUAACUUCGUGCCAGCAGCCGCGGUAAU